GGCCAAGCUAGUAAGGGCGUGUGGGGGAUGUCUCGGCGCCAGAAGGCGAAAGGGCGUGGAAGACUGCGAUAAGUCCGGGGGAGCUGUCAACGAGCGUUGAUCCCGGAAUCCCCGAGCUAACCCGGGGAACUGAAACAUCUCAGUACCCGGAGGAAAAGAAAGAAACCUCGACUCCGUCAGUAGCGGCGAGCGAAAGCGGACCAGCCCAAACCACAGGGGCAACCCUGUGGGGUUGUAGGACCGCACCAGCGGAUCCCAAGUCCUUAGCAGAACGGUCUGGAAUGGCCGGCCAAAGAGGGUGAAAGCCCCGUACGCGAAAGGGACGCGGGCCGCGCGGGAUCCUGAGUAGGACCCAUCACGUGGAAGUGGGUCUGAAUCCGGGAGGACCAUCUCCCAAGGCUAAGUACUCUCUGGCGACCGAUAGCGAACCAGUAGCGUGAGCGAAAGAUGGGAAGAACCCCGCAAGGGGAGGAUAGUGAACCUGAAACCACAUGCCUACAAGCGGUCGGAGGGCUAUGCCCCGUAAGGGGAAUUGCCUGACGGCGUGCCUUUUGCAUAAUGAUCCGGCGACUUACCGUAUCCAGCAAGGUUAAGGGUCUCUGGCCCGUAGCCGCAGCGAAAGCGAGUCUGACAAGGGCGUACAGUUGGGUGCGGUAGACGCGAAACCACGUGACCUACACAUGGCCAGGAUGAAGUUGGGGUAACACCCAAUGGAGGUCCGAACCCACUAGUGUUGAAAAACUAGGGGAUGAGCUGUGUGGAGGAGUGAAAGUCUAACCAAACGUGGAGAUAGCUCGUUCUCUCCGAAAUAACUUUAGGGUUAGCGUCCGGAUAGUUGGCCGUGGGGGUAGAGCGACUGAUUCCGAACGGGGGCCUACCCGGCUACCCGUCGGAGCCAAACUCCGAAUACCACGGUGCAAGUCCGGGCAGCUAGACGGUGGGGGAUAAGCUUCAUCGUCGAGAGGGGAACAACCCAGAUCACCCGCUAAGGCCCCCAAGACGUGCUCAGUGCGAAAGGAAGUUGGAUCCCUGAGACAGCCAGGAUGUUGGCUUAGAAGCAGCCACCAUUUAAACAACGCGUAAUAGCGGACUGGUCGAGGGAUCCUGCGCCGAUAAUGAACGGGACUAAGCACGUCGCCGAAGCGGUGGGCAGUCGUACGACUGCGGUAGGAGAGCGUUGCCUGCGCAGCGAAGCGGUACGGACAACGAGCCGUGGAGCGCAGGCAAGUGAAUAUGCCGGAAUGAGUAGACGAUAAAACGGGUGAGAAUCCCGUUCGCCGAAAGCCUAAGGUUUCCUGGGGAAGGUAAAUCCGCCCAGGGUUAGCCGGUGCCUAACCCGAGGCCGAAAGGCGUAGGGGAUGGGGAGCAGGUUAAUAUUCCUGCGCUCCUCACGCAAGAUGGGACGCUGGCCAAUGACGGUGUAGGUCAAACAGAUGACCUCAGGGCGCUUAUGAUCCCGAUAUCCGCCAACGGCCAGCCAAGAAAACCGCGUGAGAAACCGUACCACAAACCGACACAGGUAGGCGGGAUGAAGAUUCUCAGGCGCUCGAGAGAACGCUCGUGAAGGAACUCUGCAAGUUGACCCCGUAACUUCGGGAGAAGGGGUGCCUCACUCCGGUGAGGCCGCAGUGAAAGGGCUCUGGCGACUGUUUACUAAAAACACAGGUCUGUGCCAAGGCGUAAGCCGCUGUAUACAGACUGACGCCUGCCCGGUGCUGGUAAGUUAAGGAAGCGGGUUAGCCGCAAGGCGAAGCUCGCAACCGAAGCUCCAGUAAACGGCGGCCGUAACUAUGACGGUCCUAAGGUAGCGAAAUUCCUUGUCGGGUAAGUUCCGACCUGCAUGAAUGGCGUAACGACUGGAGCACUGUCUCCACGAGCGACUCGGUGAAAUUGUAGUUGUCGUGAAGAUGCGACAUACCCGCAGCUAGACGGAAAGACCCCGUGAACCUUUACUGCAGCUUGGUAUUGGGUUUAGGCCCAGCAUGCGUAGCGUAGGUGGGAGGCUACGAACCGCCACUUUCGGGUGGCGGGGAGCCGACCCUGAAACACCACCCUUGCUGUGCUUGAAUUCUAACUGGGUGUGUGCAGCACCCAGGACAGUGCUAAGUGGGCAGUUUGAUUGGGGCGAUCUCCUCCUAAAAGGUAACGGAGGAGUCCAAAGGUACCCUCAGCCCGGUUGGCAAUCGGGCAGCGAGCGCAAUGGUAGAAGGGUGCUUGACUGCGAGUCCGAUGGGACAAGCAGAGACGAAAGUUGGGCAUAGUGAUCCGGUGGUUCCGUAUGGAAGGGCCAUCGCUCAACAGAUAAAAGGUACUCCGGGGAUAACAGGCUUAUCUCCUCUGAGCGUCCAUAGCGGCGAGGAGGUUUGGCACCUCGAUGUCGGCUCAUCGCAUCCUGGGGGUGGAGAAGCUCCCAAGGGUUCGGCUGUUCGCCGAUGAAAGCGGUACGUGAGCUGGGUUUAGACCGUCGUGAGACAGGUCGGUCCCUAUCUGCUGUGGGCGGAGGAAACUUGAGGGGCUUUCUCCCUAGUACGAGAGGACUGGGAGGGACACACCUCUGGUGUGCCAGUUGUCGCGCUAGCGGCACCGCUGGGUAGCCACGUGUGGACGGGAUAAACGCUGAAAGCAUAUAAGCGUGAAACCUCCCCCAAGAUCAGGUUUCCUGCCGAAAGGCGAAGGCUCCUGGAAGACGACCAGGUUGAUAGGCCGGACGUGCAAGUGCAGCAAUGCACUCAGCUAACCGGUACUAACAGCCGAGCGCUUGGCCGCA
rnacentral:rRNA from 1 species